AUUCGUUCUCACCAUAAGUUCCAGUAGCAGACCUGAACCCAAGUAGUUAUCAAGAAAUUCACAGCAGAUGUCAUCUUCCUCUCAUCCAUCAAUGGCGCUAGCUUUCUACAGCUACUCCCCCUGUAAACCCUCUUCUUCAACAAAUUCCAGUUUCCUUAGUUCGUCAUCUCACACGAAGCAGCAGUCAAAUCUUCUCUUUCCUCUGAGAAAAAAAUUAAGGCAGCAGAGUCGGAGCUUAUGUAUCGUUAGCGGGUCGGGUUCCGAUGAGAGCAACUCUCAAGAUGAUGAAGUAGAUGAUUUGGGGGUCAAAGCUGCAUUAUCAAUGCUCAAGUUCUAUAAAAACCGGCAGGACUGUGUAACGGUUGACUGUUAAGCAGGGGAAAUCUCACCAAUAAUGCCAAAAAGUUGCCGCUAUAUACCAACAUGCAGUGAAUACUCCAUGAUCGCUUACAAGAAAUAUGGAGUUGUUAAAGGGACAGUUUUGACUGCCUGGCGUCUUUGUCGCUGUAACCCUCUAGGAGGAUCUGGUUUUGAUCCCCCGAGAUGGUUCGAUGAGGAAAGUCCACCGCAGGAAUAACACUUAAUACUCCAUUAAACAGAAAUACAGUUAUCUUCUAAUAGGUUCUGCACAAUCAUGUGAGCAAAAAGACUGUUAAUGAUGAAGAUUCGUAUAGGAUGCGAGUCUUUGGUGUUCUUGGAGGAGCACAGUGGCCAAGCAUUAGGGCAGCAAAACUAAACCAAACCCACAGUAGACCACAUUUGAAAGUAAAGAAUCAACGCCAAACCUGCAGUAGACCACAUUUGGAAGUUACUUAUCUACCUUGUUAAGUUUUUGAGUUCAAGUUAUGCUCAAGACUGUAUCAACUACGCGAUAUUGCAUUUCUCCCCCCUUACCCUGUGAUACUAUCGUUGCACUUUUAGCCCUACAAUGUAUUUGAAGUGGCACAUUUGAUCCUAUUUCACAAGGACCAGAAGUACAAAACUCAUUUCUUUUGGCUGCAUAUAAGCUUGAAGCAAGUAUGAGGUAACUUAAGAAAACUCAUUU